GAGAGUUAAACAGUACGUGAAAUUGUUGAAAGGGAAACGAUUGAAGUCAGUCAUACCAACGGGAAAUCAACCUCUUGAGUUUGGUCUCGUGGGUUUCGAAGAGUUUAAAAGCCUUCGGAUUUUCGAGAUUGGGCUCUUCUGGUGUACUUUCUCGUACGGUUAGUCAACAUCGGUUUUGAAUGUCAUAAAAUGACUGGAGGAAUGUGGCUUCGAUCUCGUAUUGAAGUGUUAUAGCCUUUGGUAGAUGUGAUGUUCAAGACCGAGGAUUGCAACGGAUACCCUUCUGGGCUAUUCGUCUGAUCUCUGAAACGUUGCCUCGAUGUCGAAAGCUUGCUUAUGAUGUUAGGGUAUUACGAUCAAAAGGUUAGAACGGAUUAAAUUCGUUAAGGAUGUUGACGUAAUGACUUUAAACGA
rnacentral:rRNA from 1 species